GACAGAGGGUGCAAACGUUGUUCGGAAUUACUGGGCGUAAAGCGUGUGUAGGCUGCUCCGAUAGUCGGAUGUGAAAGCCCUGGGCUCAACCUAGGAAGUGCAUUCGAUACUCCGGAGCUCGAGUCCUGGAGAGGAAGGCGGAAUUCUCGGUGUAGAGGUGAAAUUCGUAGAUAUCGGGAGGAACACCAGUGGCGAAGGCGGCGAUCUGGGAAGAUACUGACGCUGAGGUGCGAAAGCGUGGGGAGCAAACAGG
rnacentral:rRNA from 1 species